rnacentral:misc_RNA from 1 species
GAAAUGCGAUAAGUAAUGUGAAUUGCAGAAUUCAGUGAAUCAUCGAAUCUUUGAACGCACCUUGCGCUCCUUGGUAUUCCUAGGAGCAUGCCUGUUUGAGUGUCGUGGAAUUCUCAACUCUAUUUGCUUUUGUGAAUAGAGCUUGGAUUUGGAGGUUUAUUGCUGGUACUUGUGAUCGGCUCCUCUUGAAUGCAUUAGCUCGAACCUUUGCGGAUCAGCUAUCGGUGUGAUAAUUGUCUACGCCGUUGCAGUGAAGCAUAUCAAUGGGCUCGGCUUCCAAUCGUCCUUUACUGGACAAUGACUUUGACCUUUGACCUCAAAUCAGGUAGGAUUACCCGCUGAACUUAAGC